rnacentral:rRNA from 1 species
UGGGGAAUUUUGGACAAUGGGCGAAAGCCUGAUCCAGCAAUGCCGCGUGUGUGAAGAAGGCCUUCGGGUUGUAAAGCACUUUUGUCCGGAAAGAAAUCCUCUGGGUUAAUACCUCGGGGGGAUGACGGUACCGGAAGAAUAAGCACCGGCUAACUACGUGCCAGCAGCCGCGGUAAUACGUAGGGUGCAAGCGUUAAUCGGAAUUACUGGGCGUAAAGCGUGCGCAGGCGGUUUUGUAAGACGGAUGUGAAAUCCCCGGGCUUAACCUGGGAACUGCAUUCGUGACUGCAAGGCUAGAGUAUGGCAGAGGGGGGUAGAAUUCCACGUGUAGCAGUGAAAUGCGUAGAGAUGUGGAGGAAUACCGAUGGCGAAGGCAGCCCCCUGGGCCAAUACUGACGCUCAUGCACGAAAGCGUGGGGAGCAAACAGGAUUAGAUACCCUGGUAGUCCACGCCCUAAACGAUGUCAACUAGUUGUUGGGGAUUCAUUUCCUUAGUAACGUAGCUAACGCGUGAGGUUGACCGCCUGGGGAGUACGGUCGCAAGAUUAAAACUCAAAUGAAUUGAC